rnacentral:misc_RNA from 1 species
CCCUCCCCAAGCCUGCAGAGUGCGCUGCGUUUCGAUGAGCCGGGACGUGGCGCCGCUCUAGCCAGCGCCUGGGCUCUGUGGCGGGCGCCGCAGCUCCGCGUCCCCCGCGCCUCCUCCCAGCGCAGACUUCAAGGGCUACCACUGGACCCUUCCCCUGUCUUGAACCCUGAGCCGGCACCAUGGUCAGCUUCUGCAAGGCAACCUGCACUCUUCCAACCCGUUCAUCCUUGUAGCACGGACGCCUGAAGGUGAAGACGUCAGAAGAGCAGGCGGAGGCCAAAAGGCUAGAGCGAGAGCAGAAGCUGAAGCUAUACCAGUCAGCCACCCAGGCCGUAUUCCAGAAGCGCCAGGCUGGUGAGCUGGAUGAGUCCGUGCUGGAACUGACAAGCCAGAUUCUGGGAGCCAACCCUGAUUUUGCCACCCUCUGGAACUGCCGACGAGAGGUGCUCCAGCAGCUGGAGACUCAGAAGUCUCCUGAAGAGUUGGCUGCUCUGGUGAAGGCAGAACUGGGCUUCCUGGAGAGCUGCCUGCGGGUGAACCCCAAGUCUUAUGGUACCUGGCACCACCGAUGCUGGCUGCUAGGCCGCCUGCCUGAGCCCAACUGGACCCGAGAGCUGGAGCUCUGUGCCCGUUUCCUGGAGGUGGAUGAGCGGAACUUUCACUGCUGGGACUAUCGGCGGUUUGUGGCCACACAGGCAGCCGUGCCCCCUGCAGAAGAGCUAGCCUUCACUGACAGCCUCAUCACCCGAAACUUCUCCAACUACUCUUCCUGGCAUUACCGCUCCUGUCUCUUGCCCCAGCUGCACCCCCAGCCGGAUUCUGGACCACAGGGGCGCCUCCCUGAGGAUGUGCUGCUCAAAGGUUUAUUGAGCACCUACUUCAUGCGUGG